rnacentral:rRNA from 1 species
GUAGGUGGCAAGCGUUGUCCGGAAUUAUUGGGCGUAAAGCGCGCGCAGGCGGUUCUUUAAGUCUGAUGUGAAAGCCCACGGCUCAACCGUGGAGGGUCAUUGGAAACUGGAGAACUUGAGUACAGAAGAGGAAAGCGGAAUUCCACGUGUAGCGGUGAAAUGCGUAGAGAUGUGGAGGAACACCAGUGGCGAAGGCGGCUUUCUGGUCUGUAACUGACGCUGAGGCGCGAAAGCGCGGGGAGCAAACAGGGAUUAGAUACCCUGGUAGUCCACGCCGUAAACGAUGAGUGCUAAGUGUUAGGGGGGUUUCCGCCCCCUUAGUGCUGCGGCUAACGCAUUAAGCACUCCGCCUGGGGAGUACGGCCGCAAGGCUG